rnacentral:rRNA from 1 species
UACAGAGGGCGCGAGCGUUGUCCGGAAUCACUGGGCGUAAAGGGCGCGUAGGUGGCCAGCAUAAGGCCGUGGUGAAAGUCCGGAGCUCAACUCCGGAUCUGCCGCGGCGACUGUGCGGCUUGGGCACUGUAGAGGCAGAUGGAAUUCCGGGUGUAGCGGUGGAAUGCGUAGAGAUCCGGAAGAACACCGGUGGCGAAGGCGAUCUGCUGGGCAGUGGACCGCAAGGUCCAAUAGCCGACACUGAGGCGCGACAGCGUGGGGAGCAAACAGG